AUUGAACGCUGGCGGCAUGCUUUACACAUGCAAGUCGAACGGUAACAGGCCGCAAGGUGCUGACGAGUGGCGAACGGGUGAGUAAUGCAUCGGAACGUGCCCAGUCGUGGGGGAUAACGCAGCGAAAGCUGUGCUAAUACCACAUACGAUCUAUGGAUGAAAGCGGGGGACCGUAAGGCCUCGCGCGAUUGGAGCGGCCGAUGUCAGAUUAGGUAGUUGGUGGGGUAAAGGCUCACCAAGCCAACGAUCUGCAGCUGGUCUGAGAGGACGACCAGCCACACUGGGACUGAGACACGGCCCAGACUCCUACGGGAGGCAGCAGUGGGGAAUUUUGGACAAUGGGCGCAAGCCUGAUCCAGCAAUGCCGCGUGCAGGAAGAAGGCCUUCGGGUUGUAAACUGCUUUUGUACGGAACGAAACGGUCUGGGUUAAUACCCUGGGCUAAUGACGGUACCGUAAGAAUAAGCACCGGCUAACUACGUGCCAGCCGCCGCAGUAAUAC
rnacentral:rRNA from 1 species